rnacentral:rRNA from 1 species
ACGCUCGACACCUACGGGGGGCAGCAGUGGGGAAUAUUGCACAAUGGGGGGAACCCUGAUGCAGCGACGCCGCGUGAGUGAAGAAGUACUUCGGUAUGUAAAGCUCUAUCAGCAGGGAAGAAAAUGACGGUACCUGACUAAGAAGCCCCGGCUAACUACGUGCCAGCAGCCGCGGUAAUCUGAGCGGGCUGGCAAGGC